rnacentral:rRNA from 1 species
GUGCCAGCAGCCGCGGUAAUACAGAGGGUGCAAGCGUUAAUCGGAAUUACUGGGCGUAAAGCGCGCGUAGGUGGUUUGUUAAGUUGGAUGUGAAAGCCCCGGGCUCAACCUGGGAACUGCAUCCAAAACUGGCAAGCUAGAGUAUGUAGAGGGUGGUGGAAUUUCCUGUGUAGCGGUGAAAUGCGUAGAUAUAGGAAGGAACAGGUAGCUGACGAGGCGACACCUGGACUGAUACUGACACUGAGGUGCGAAAGCGUGGGGAGCAAACAGGUAAAGAUACCCUGGUAGUCC